CAUCCCAGUCCCUCCAGUUUCCCAUUCCCAGUUUCCCCAGUACCUGCACGGGGUACGUGCGGUCGGGGUCAAAGGCGCUCAGGUCCCAUUCCCAUCCCAGUUUCCCAUCCCAGUCUAUCCCAGUCCAUCCCAAUCCAUCCCAGUCCAUCCCAGUCCAUCCCAGUUUCCCAUCCCAGUCCAUCCCAGUCCAUCCCAGUUUCCCCAGUUCAUACCUGCAGCGGGUAUGUGCGGUCGGGGUCGAAGGCGCUCAGGUCCCAUUCCCAUCCCAGUCCAUCCCAGUCCAUCCCAGUUUACCCAGUCCAUCCCAGUUUCCCAUCCCAGU
rnacentral:lncRNA from 1 species